UACGUAGGGGGCAAGCGUUGUCCGGAUUUAUUGGGCGUAAAGAGCGUGUAGGCGGCUUUGCAAGUCCGUUGUGAAAACUCGAGGCUCAACCUCGAGACGCCGGUGGAAACUGCAAAGCUAGAGUCCGGAAGAGGAGAGUGGAAUUCCUGGUGUAGCGGUGAAAUGCGCAGAUAUCAGGAAGAACACCCGUGGCGAAGGCGGCUCUCUGGGACGGUACUGACGCUGAGACGCGAAAGCUAGGGGAGCAAACGGG
rnacentral:rRNA from 1 species